AUGGGAGGAAGUUGCUGUGCAGAGUGGCUCCUGUAGUCUUCCCAGGGUCGAAGCAGCAGCUGGCAGACAAAGAGGAUGGCAAUAAGAACACUCGGGACAACUGUAAAUAACAAACACUGUUAAAAAGGGAAGAAAAUCAAGCCAGAAAUCAAAUAUUUUCCAUUUCCUUCAGAAAACUACACAAUUCUCCUCUUUCAACAGUUGUUAGACAAAAGAGAGAAAAUCAAGAAAGAAUAAACAGAUUAUGCAGAACUGAAGGAUACAUUACAUGAAAAGUGAAGGGAGAUUAUUUAUCCUUCAGCAAAAGAGGGAAAUAUCUGGAGGUCAGUGAGGAGGAAAAGGUCAAUAGUAAAGUCACAUAGAGCAUACAGUAAUUCAGGCCUCUCCCUGUGAGGAAGAAAACGGCUUGAAUGAAAGCACCACUAAACAAGGCAUUGUCCAUAUUUUAUCUCUUCAAGAAUAUCAUCUGUGGAAAAGCUCCAUAGAUUUGUCUAUUGUGGGACAAGCACAGAUUGCAAAUCACAGCUGAUUAUGCACAAGAGGAGCCAGAGAGGAGAAAAACCAUACAAAUUACCUGAUUGUGGCAAAAGCUUUGGUCACAACAGCUCCCUUGUGGUUCAUGGAAGCACCCAGACACAAGAGGGAAGCCACAAAAGUGCUCCCAAUGUAGUAAAUGCUUUAGUGAGCACGGCAACAUGGUGCUACAUCAGAUAACUCACAGGAGGAAGAAAACGUAUGACUGUGCAGAUUGUUUGAAAGUUUCAUUAGAAAUUCCCAGGUCAUGAGAUACUAAAGGACGCGCACACAGGAAUAAAAACCAUUUGAACAUCCUUUCUGUGGGAAAAGUUUCAGUGAGAAUUCCAUCCUGGUGAAGCACCAGAGAACUCACACAGAAGAGAAAACCUUUGAAUGUCCUGAUUAUGGGAAAGUCACAAUUCCAGCCUGGUGAUACACCAGAAGACUCACAAAGGAGAGAAAUGUUUUGAAUGUCCUGAUUGUUGGAAAACUUUCAGUUAUAAUUCCAACUUGGUGAUAGACCAGAGGAAUCAUAAAGGAGAAAAACCCAUUCAAUAUACUGACUGUGGGAGAAGUUCCAGUUCGUAAUUCCCAUCUGCCAAUACAUCAGAGGAUUCAAUCCAUGGAGAAAUCUUAUGAAUGUCGAGAUUGUGGGAAAGCUUUCAUUACAAAUUCGCACCUCCUGAGACACAAGACCAUGCACACAGGAGAGAAACCAUUUGAAUGCCCUAUCUGUGGGAAAGGUUAUAGUGAUAAUUCCCACCUGGUGGCACACCAGAGGACUCACACAGGAGAGAAACCCUUUGAAUGUCCUGAUUGUGGGAAAAGUUUCAGUCAGAAUUCCAACCUGGUGAGACACCAGAGGAGUCACACAGGAGAGAAACCCUUUGAAUGUCCUAUCUGUGAGAAAGGUUUUAAUGAUAAUUCCCACCUGGUGAUACACCAGAGGACUCAUACAGGAGAGAAACCCUUUGAAUGUCCUGAUUGUGGGAAAGGUUUUAGAGAUAAUUUCCACCUGGUGAGACAUCAGAGGAGUCACACAGGAGAGAAACCCUUUGAAUGUCCUGAUUGUGGGAAAGGUUUUAGAGAUAAUUUCCACCUGGUGAGACAUCAGAGGAGUCACACAGGAGAGAAACCCUUUGAAUGUCCUGAUUGUGGGAAAGGUUUUAGUGAUAAUUCCAGCCUGGUGAUACACCAAAGGACUCACACAGGAGAGAAGCCCUUUGAAUGUCCUGAUUGUGGGAAAGGUUUUAGUGAUAAUUACAGCCUGGUGAGACACCAGAGGACUCACACAGGAGAGAAACCCUUUGAAUGUCCUGAUUGUGGAAAAGGUUUUAUUGAUAAUUCCAGCCUGGUGAGACACCAGAGGACUCACACAGGAGAGAAACCCUUUGAAUGUCCUAUCUGUGGGAAAGGUUUUAGUGAUAAUUUCAGCCUUGUUCAACACCAGAGUACUCACACAGGAGAGAAACCCUUUGAAUGUCCUGAUUGUGGGAAAGGUUUUAGAGAUAAUUCCAGCCUGGUGAGACAUCAGAGGAAUCACACAGGAGAGAAACCCUUUGAAUGUCCUAUCUGUGAGAAAGGUUUUAAUGAUAAUUCCAACCUGGUGAGACACCAGAGGACUCACACAGGAGAGAAACCCUUUGAAUGUCUUGACUGUGGAAAAUGUUACAGUCAGAAUUCCCACCUGGUUACACACCAGAGGACUCACAGACGAGAGAAAACCUUGAAUGUCCUAUCUUUAGGAAAAGUUUCAGUCAGAAUUCCUACCUAAUGAUACACCAGAGAUUUUACACUGUGGAGAAAUGUUUGAAAUGUCCAGUCUGUGGACGUUACUUCAAGCAUAAAUCAUCCCUUAUUGCACACAAGGUAAUCCAUAUGAGGAAUAGUAGAUGAGUUUACAGAAUGCUUGAAUUUCAUUUGUGAUCUCCCAUUGAAAGUAUAGGUGAGAAAUUGUUUGAAUUUUGGCCUGAUUCAUUUUACUCAAACGUUUCUCAGGAUUAAAUGUGUAGGUGGAGAGAAAAGGAAAAUGGAAAUGGCUAAUUUUCAGUGGGCCCUGGAUUCAUCCCUGUUGUGAACUGUGGUAAUGGCACAAGGCACCACACGGCAUCCUGCCGCAAGCAUAAGAUACACAGAUAUGACUCACAUUCUUCUCUGCCUUCUCAGAAUGGAAGCAAGAGUGAAAGAAAAUGCAGUCUAGUGGAAAUGGUUGGAGUGCAUUAGAGGAGUUUAGCCAAAAGGAAAAAGAUAGCUGAUGGUAGCUUUUUAAAACAUUAUUUCCUCCAAAAAAAAAAAAAUCCUCCAGAAGUUAAAAGUGUUUUAAUCAGCUGAGAAACUGCUUGACAAGCUGCUUGACAAGCUACACAGUGUUUGCCGCAAGCGGCUGCAGAAGAAGUCAGGCGGUGGUGCAACAGGUGUCCGAGUGUGGGUGGCCUCCCUGCAAUGGUCCUAAGAUAAGCGGACAAAGAGGAUGGCAAUAAGAACACUCGGGACAACUGUAAAUAACAAACACUGUUGAAAAGGGAAGAAAAUCAAGCCAGAAAUCAAAUAUUUUCCAUUUCCUUCAGAAAACUACACAAUUCUCCUCUUCCAACAGCUGUUAGACAAAAGAGAGAAAAUGAAGAAAGAAUAAACAGAUUAUGCAGAACUGAAGGAUACAUUACAUGGAAAGUGAAGGGAGAUUAUUUAUCCUUCAGCAAAAGAGGGAAAUAUCUGGAGGUCAGUGGGGAAGAAAAGGUCAAUAGUAAAGUCACAUAGAGCAUACAGUAAUUCAAGCCUCUCCCUGUGAGGAAGAAAACGGCUUGAAUGAAAGCACCACUAAACAAGGCAUUGUCCAUAUUUUAUCUCCUCAAGAAUAUCAUCUGUGGAAAAGCUCCAUAGAUUUGUCUAUUGUGGGACAAGCACAGAUUGCUGAUGAUGCACAAGAGGAGCCAGAGAGGAGAAAAACCAUACAAAUUACCUGAUUGUGGCAAAAGCUUUGGUCACAAUAGCUUCCUUGUGGUUCAUGGAAGCACCCAGACACAAGAGGGAAGCCACAAAAGUGCUCCCAAUGUAGUAAAUGCUUUAAUGAGCAUGGCAACAUGGUGCUACAUCAGAUAACUCGCAGGAGGAAGAAAACGUAUGACUGUGCAGAUUGUUUGAAAGUUUCAUUAGAAAUUCCCAGGUCAUGAGACACUAAAGGACGCGCACACAGGAAUAAAAACCAUUUGAACAUCCUUUCUGUGGGAAAAGUUUCAGUGAGAAUUCCAUCCUGGUGAAGCACCAGAGAACUCACACGGAAGAGAAAACCUUUGAAUGUCCUGAUUAUGGGAAAGUCACAAUUCCAGCCUGGUGAUACACCAGAAGACUCACAUAGGACAGAAAUGUUUUGAAUGUCCUGAUUGUUGGAAAACAUUCAGUUAUAAUUCCAACUUGGUGAUAGACCAGAGGAAUCAUAAAGGAGAAAAACCCAUUCAAUAUACUGACUGUGGGAGAAGUUUCAGUUCGUAAUUCCCACCUGCCAAUACAUCAGAGGAUUCAUUCAAUGGAGAAAUCUUAUGAAUGUUGAGAUUGUGGGAAAGCUUUCAUUAGAAAUUCGCACCUCCUGAGACACAAGAC